rnacentral:rRNA from 1 species
AUUGAACGCUGGCGGCAGGCCUAACACAUGCAAGUCGAACGAGUGGCGGACGGGUGAGUAGUGUCUGAAAAACUGCGUGAGGGAGGGGGAUCACUACGGAAAACUGUCGCUAAUACCACAAACCAUGCUAUGCGCACAGAGGGGAGUAGCUAGUUGGGGGGGUAACGGCACACCAAGGCGACGAUCCCUCGCUGGUCUGAGAGGUGUACCAGCCACACUGGAACUGAGACACGGUCCAGACUCCUACGGGAGGCAGCAGUGGGGAAUAUUUCACAAUGGGCGCAAGCCUGAUGCAGCCAUGCCGCGUGUAUGAAGAAGGCCUUCGGGUUGUAAAGUACUUUCAGCGGGGAGGCGUUACCCGCAGAAGAAGCACCGGCUAACUCCGUGCCAGCAGCCGCGGUAAUUC